UACGGAGGGUGCGAGCGUUGUCCGGAAUCACUGGGCGUAAAGGGCGCGUAGGCGGCGCGAGUAGUCAACGGUGAAAGCCCGGGGCUCAACCCCGGGUCGGCCGUCGAUACUCUCGUGCUUGAGCACUGUAGAGGCAGGUGGAAUUCCGGGUGUAGCGGUGGAAUGCGUAGAGAUCCGGAAGAACACCGGCGGCGAAGGCGGCACUCUGGGCCGGUACUGACGCUGAGGAGCGAAAGCGUGGGUAGCAAACAGG
rnacentral:rRNA from 1 species